rnacentral:rRNA from 1 species
CAGUCGCCGCGGUAAUACGGAGGGUGCAGGCGUUAAUCGGAAUUACUGGGCGUAAAGCGCACGCAGGCGGUCUGACAAGUCAGAUGUGAAAUCCCCGGGCUUAACCUGGGAACUGCAUUUGAAACUGUCAGGCUGGAGUCUUGUAGAGGGGGGUGGAAUUCCAGGUGUAGCGGUGAAAUGCGUAGAGAUCUGGAGGAAUACCGGUGGCGAAGGCGGCCCCCUGGACAAAGACUGACGCUCAGGUGCGAAAGCGUGGGGAGCAAACAGGAUUAGAUACCCCUGUAGUCCCUGUCUCUUAUAC